rnacentral:rRNA from 1 species
GAUGAACGCUGGCGGCGUGCCUAAUACAUGCAAGUCGAGCGAACAGACGAGGAGCUUGCUCCUCUGACGUUAGCGGCGGACGGGUGAGUAACACGUGGAUAACCUACCUAUAAGACUGGGAUAACUUCGGGAAACCGGAGCUAAUACCGGAUAAUAUAUUGAACCGCAUGGUUCAAUAGUGAAAGACGGUUUUGCUGUCACUUAUAGCUGGAUCCGCGCCGCAUUAGCUAGUUGGUAAGGUAACGGCUUACCAAGGCAACGAUGCGUAGCCGACCUGAGAGGAUGAUCGGCCACACUGGAACUGAGACACGGUCCAGACUCCUACGGGAGGCAGCAGUAGGGAAUCUUCCGCAAUGGGCGAAAGCUUGACGGAGCAACGCCGCGUGAGUGAUGAAGGUCUUCGGAUCGUAAAACCCUGUUAUUAGGGAAGAACAAAUGUGUAAGUAACUAUGCACGUCUUGACGGUACCUAAUCAGAAAGCCACGGCUAACUACGUG